rnacentral:lncRNA from 1 species
UUCACUUUUCAGAAGGUCACUAAUUCUCUUAAUUUUUUAGGUUUAAGUAUCGCUCAAAAUAUUAUAGUCCAAUUAAAAAUUUUUAGUCAUAUUAUAUCUUAUAUAUGAAACUAUUCGGGGUUUCAAAGUAAUUGACUUCAGUCCAUUUCAAACCGAAGUCAAUUACGAAAAAAAAUAAUAAUAAACUAUUAACUCGCAUUCCAUACCGCCGGUGUUUACACUAUUUAUUAUUUACCAAACAAAUAAUAGAACUAAGAAAACUUUAGUUUAAUAGCUAUAUAAAC